AUGCCUACCUGUUUCUCUGACAUCAUCAAAGACCAUUCCCUAGAUUUCAUUUGCCUUCAAGAAACUAUGAAAAAAACCUUCCCCCCUAAAAGUCUUAGGAAGAUUGAUUGUAUGAGUAAUUUUGAUUGGAAUUGGGUACCCUCGAAUGGUAAAGCAGGUGGUAUCCUAUGUGGUGUCAGGAAGGAAACCUUGGAAGUGAUAUCCUGGACCUCUGGUAGAUUCUGUCUACAGGCAAACCUAUACGAUGUUAAGCUCAAACGUAUUUGGGCAAUCAUAACAGUCUAUGGGGCGGCUCAUGACGACAGUAAAGAUGACUUCCUUACUGAACUUGCCUCGGUGUGCUCGUGCACUCAGGUUCCUUAUAUAGUGGGAGGUGACUUUAAUAUUUUAUGA
rnacentral:rRNA from 1 species